GCAUUGUUGUAAUUUUAUGUUAUUGAACAAUUUUAGUGUUGCAAACUUGCAAUAUGAUGUAAAAAGGCAAACAUUUUAUGGUUCAUAUCUUUGUGGCAGAGGCUAUUAGGAAAGAAAGUUGUAUUCAUUACCAGCACAGAUGAGCAUUGGGAGAAAAUUGCUGCGGCAGUCCGGGGUUCCGACUCAAGUGAUUGUGAUGUCCUUUAACAUGCAUAUAAGACACUCUGGAAAGAUUUAGACAUAUCUUAUGAUGAGUUCAUUCGGACAACCAAUGAGUCUGAACCCAAGCAUGAAGCAAUUGUGAAGGAAUUUUACUAAGGGUUGUUGCCAAUGGUGAUAUAUAUCUAUGAAGGACAUUAUUGUGUCAACUUUGAGGAGUAUAAGGUGCAAAGCUGGAUCAAAAGUGGCCUAAGAGAUUUUUUCCAUUUCCUGAGCAUUAGUGGAUUGGGGCAUCCUAGUUCCUAAUGACA